AAGAAACCCAGAAAACAACUAGGGCGGAGUCGAGAACCCAAGAGCUACGAGCGCAGGGCCGAAGCCAGAGACUCAAGGUUCGGCACGGGCGGGGACUAGAAGCAACGCUUAGGCACAAGGGGACGGCGGCUGGCGCGGGCGGGCGCGGCCUUUGUUUCCUCCUCUGGCGCGCUCCACGGCCGCACCGGCCCCAUGUGCCCGUGGCUCCCCGGCGCCCCAGCCGCCCGAAGCCCCUAAUUUGCCCUACCCUGACCUCGUCAUGGCCGAAGCUACCUCCGGCUCUGGGGGCACGUCCCUAGAGGGCGAGCGCGGCAAGAGGCCCCCACCAGAGGGCGAGCCUGCAGCCCCGGCGUCCGGAGUUCUGGAUAAGCUUUUUGGGAAGCGGCUCCUGCAAGCAGGUCGAUACCUGGUGUCCCACAAGGCGUGGAUGAAGACUGUGCCCACGGAGAACUGCGAUGUGCUGAUGACCUUCCCAGAUACGACGGAUGACCACACACUGCUGUGGCUGCUGAACCACAUCCGUGUGGGGAUUCCUGAACUCAUAGUGCAAGUCCGCCACCAUCGCCACACGCGUGCCUACGCCUUCUUCGUCACCGCCACGUAUGAGAGCCUACUCCGAGGGGCUGACGAACUGGGUCUGCGUAAAGCAGUGAAGGCCGAGUUUGGCGGGGGUACCCGCAGCUUCUCCUGCGAGGAGGACUUUAUCUACGAGAAUGUGGAGAGUGAGCUACACUUCUUCACCUCCCAGGAGCGCCAGAGCAUCAUCCGCUUCUGGCUUCAGAACCUGCGUGCCAAACAGGGUGAGGCGCUGCAUAACGUGCGUUUCUUGGAGGACCAGCCAAUCAUCCCUGAGCUGGCAGCCCGUGGGAUCAUCCAGCAAGUGUUUCCAAUCCACGAGCAGCGCAUUCUGAACCGCCUCAUGAAGUCAUGGGUACAGGCUGUGUGUGAAAACCAGCCUCUAGACGAGAUCUGUGACUAUUUUGGUGUGAAGAUUGCCAUGUACUUUGCCUGGUUGGGCUUCUACACGUCAGCGAUGGUGUACCCAGCCGUCUUCGGCUCUGUCCUGUAUACGUUCACAGAGACCGAUCAGACAAGCCAGGAUGUGUCCUGUGUGGUCUUCGCCCUGUUCAAUGUGGUCUGGUCAACGCUGUUCUUGGAGGAGUGGAAGCGGAGGGGGGCAGAGCUGGCCUACAAGUGGGGGACGCUGGACUCUCCGGGGGAAGCCAUGGAGGAGCCACGGCCCCAGUUCAGGGGUGUGCGACGCAUCAGCCCCGUGACACGGGCCGAGGAGUUCUACUAUCCACCCUGGAAGCGGCUGCUCUUCCAGCUCUUUGUGAGUGUUCCCCUGUGUCUCACCUGCCUGGCCUGCGUGUUCCUGCUCAUGCUCGGCUGCUUCCAGCUGCAGGAGCUGGUGCUGAGUGUGAAGGGGCUGCCUCGCCUUGCUCGGUUCCUGCCCAAGGUUGUGCUGGCCCUGCUGGUUAGCAUAAGCGCUGAGGGCUACAAGAAGCUCGCCAUUUGGCUCAACGACAUGGAGAAUUACCGGCUGGAGAGUGCCUAUGAGAAGCACCUCAUCAUCAAGGUGGUUCUGUUCCAGUUUGUCAAUUCCUACCUGAGCCUCUUCUACAUUGGUUUCUACCUCAAGGACAUGGAGCGCCUAAAAGAGAUGCUGGCCACUCUGCUGAUCACUCGCCAGUUUCUCCAGAAUGUGCGUGAGGUCCUGCAGCCGCACCUGUACCGGCGGCUGGGCCGAGGCGAGCUCAGCCUUCGGGCUGCCUGGGAGCUGGCCCGGGCCCUGCUCGGCCUGCUCAGCCUUCGGCGUCCUGCACCCUACCAUCUUGAACCCCAGGCUGAAGAGGGUGGUGGCAGUGGGGGCGGAGGGGGCCGCAGGUGUCUCAGCGGGGGCUGCGGGGCACCUGAGGAAGAGGAAGAGGCCACAGUGGAACAGCAACCCACGGGGGAAGGUGGGGAGGUGGGGAAUGGGUUGAGAGGGGAUAAGGAAGAGGAGGAAGAUGAUGAGGAGGAAGACGAGGAGGAGGAGGACGAGGAAGAGGGUGAGGAGGGCAGCCUCCUGGACUGCGGGCUCCGUCUAAAGAAGGUCAGCUUUGCUGAGCGGGCAGUUGGGAGACAUCGGCCUGGCCCAAGCCCAGAGGCCCUCCUGGAGGAGGGGAGCCCCACAAUGGUGGAGAAGGGGCUGGAGCCAGGCGUGUUCACACUAGUUGAGGAGGAUGAUGAGGCAGAGGGGGCUCCUGGUAGCCCUGAGCAGGAGCCCCCAGCUGUCGUGCUCCGCCGGGCUGGGGGCGAGGGCCGUGACCAGGGGCCAGAUGGGGGCCCAGAGCCAGAGACCGGCUCAGGUGACUUGGCCCGGAGGCAGCGGCAGAACCGGUCCUCUUGGAUCGACCCACCCGAGGAGGAGCACUCGCCCCAGCUCACCCAGGCUGAGCUCGAGAGCUGCAUGAAGAAGUACGAGGACACAUUCCAGGACUACCAGGAGAUGUUCGUGCAGUUUGGCUACGUCGUGCUCUUCUCGUCUGCCUUCCCCCUGGCUGCACUGUGCGCCCUGGUCAACAAUCUCAUUGAGAUCCGCAGUGAUGCCCUCAAGCUGUGCACCGGGCUGCAGCGGCCCUUUGGACAGCGGGUCGAGAGCAUCGGCCAGUGGCAGAAGGUGAUGGAGGCCAUGGGUGUCCUGGCAAUUGUCGUCAACUGCUAUCUCAUCGGCCAGUGUGGACAGCUACAGCGCCUCUUCCCCUGGCUCAGCCCAGAGGCGGCCAUCGUGUCCGUGGUGGUGCUUGAGCACUUCGCUCUGCUUCUCAAGUACCUCAUCCAUGUGGCCAUCCCUGACAUCCCAGGGUGGGUGGCUGAGGAGAUGGCCAAGCUUGAGUACCAGCGCCGGGAGGCCUUCAAGAGACACGAGCGCCAGGCCCAGCACCACUACCAGCAGCAGCAGCGGCGGCGGCGGGAGGAGGAGGAGCGCCAGCGCCACGCAGAGCACCACGCCCGGCGAGAGCGUGACGCCAGCGGCCGGGAGGAAGCCCGGGCUGAGGGUGCAGGGCUGGACCCUGCUGCCCCUGAGAAGGCCUCAGCCAAGGCCAAGGGCAGUGGGGUGGGCAGCCAUGGUUCAGAGCGACCCAAGCGCCCAGGGUCCCUGCUGGCUCCCAACAACGUCAUGAAGCUGAAGCAGAUCAUCCCGCUGCAGGGCAAGUUUUUGUCAUCAGGGGCCACAUCCUCCUCGAUGGCAGGCACGGGGCCCAGCCCCACCACGAGGCCAACCCCUGCCCAGUCGCCCACAGGCAGUGAUACCCGCCUGCCAGCCUUCCUCAGCUUCAAGUUCCUAAAGUCACCCGAGACCCGUCGGGAUCCUGAGCGCAGCCACUCACCACCCAAGGCCUUCCACGCCGGCAAGCUCUUCCCCUUUGGUGGCGGGGCCCGGGCUGAGGCCGGGGCCAAUGGGGCGGGCGGGCAGAUCCGGCUGGACGGGACCCCUGGCGGUGGCAGUGGCAGUGGCGGUGGCAGUGGCAGCAGCGGCGGCCGGGCCCAGCGCAGUGGGCAGGUGGACGAGGCUGCGGCUGAGGAGCCAGACACCCUCCGGCCUGAAGAGGAAGGCUCAGGUCACAAGCUUUAACUCGGGGGUGGGGACUCUGGGCUGGGAUAUGGGUAUAUGGCCAGCUAGCCAGGUCUGUGGGGAGGGGCUGAAAGGGGAUAGAGGAGGCUUGGUCACUGAUACUGACUGGGGACCUGGAUCCGUAUUACCUGAAACCUCUCAAAGCCUGCUCAGUCUCUCUGGGACCCUCGUGUACCUGGAGCCCUGUGCCUGACCCUCCUCACCCCAGGGAGGGAUGCCAAAGUCCCCCAUCCCGUUGCCCUCCCAGGGCACCUGGCCCACCAAGCUCCAGGCCAGAAGUGAGGGAGGCCCCUUCACCACCCGGCCCAGCCUCCUUACCCCAUGAGACUCCAUACCCAGCUUACUCUGGGGGGACUGGACCCCCCCGCAACCCUCUAUGCAAGUUCCCAAACUGAAGCCGUGUUUGACGAAGACUUCUGGAAGGGGGGCUGGGACUACCCAAUCAGGGAGCUUGGCCAGCUUGGCCACAGGCUGCACCCACAGGCCUCACCCCUGGCCUCUCCCACCUAACUUGUACCACCCCCAGCCAGGGGUCCGGCAGCCCAUUACCCGGGAGCUCAAGAGGUGGAAGUUGCAGGACCAGGGACUUAGGUCUGAAGUCAAGGGAGUUUUUCAGACUGGCCUCUCCCCAGAGGGGGAAAGGGACAGCGCUGGCCCUCUGCACCCGCGGCAGCCGGAGCCCCGCACCGUCAACACCAACGCCGCUGCCCGGGCCCCCGACACCGCCCGC